rnacentral:hammerhead_ribozyme from 1 species
AUCCGGCUGAUGAAUCCUAAAUAAGACGAAAUACGUGUCCUCGAU